AUAUACGAGCACUUUUCGAUGGUGCAUCAGUGCAUCGUUGAUGAUGCUUAUGUUGAGGCAAGCCCACGUGCCUCCAGGUGGCUUACGGGUAAGGCUCAUAUGACGGGGAUCAAGGGAGCCCCAUACCGGGCAUGUAUGGAAGCCCUGACUGUGACUGACGUGUGCUGGAUGCCCUAUGCUGAGCACUAGGGAGUUAGGGGCUUUGACUUGAUCUCGUCGUACACAGGCCAACUCAGAUGGGGUUAGAUUGUCGUCUACGUUCGACCAGAGUGGGUGCUUCGACAGUUCGGGUACAUUCAGACCGUCCCUCCGCCGCCUGUUCGUGAUUUGUUGAUAGGUCAUGAUAUAGACGAUCGGUGGCUGCACUUUUUAGACCAUCUAGUGCCCACGAGGGAGAUCUGUGUAGUUCCUGGCCAGGUGGCACCAGACUACAUGGAUUGGUUUUUCCGGAUUUCGCACCUGUUCGUCACGCAGACCGAGGACGGCGCUGAGCCGAGACAUCCGCCUACCCCACAUGAUGAGGAGUUCGUCGAGCCACCUAUCCCGGAGGUUCCAGUUGCGUCUGAUCUCCGUACGCAUUCAGUGGUUGACUGCCAAGGAUGUCAAGCGUUUGCUUAGGAUUUGGGAGCGAUCGCUGAGGAUUUGGAGCGGGUCAUCAACCUCAGGAUGGUCACUGAAGGCACUAACUUAUAUGACAUCUUGGCUCGUUGCCUGAUGAUAGCUAGAGGUGAUGCCGCAGAUGAAGUCUUAGGCCGCGACAAAGAGGACGCAUAGGCUAUGAUAUAUGCUUUGAAAUUUAAAUAUAUAUGCUUUACAUGUGAAUUUUUUUUCCAAA